rnacentral:rRNA from 1 species
UACGAAGGGGGCUAGCGUUGCUCGGAAUCACUGGGCGUAAAGGGUGCGUAGGCGGGUCUUUAAGUCAGGGGUGAAAUCCUGGAGCUCAACUCCAGAACUGCCUUUGAUACUGGAGAUCUUGAGUCGGGAGAGGUGAGUGGAACUGCGAGUGUAGAGGUGAAAUUCGUAGAUAUUCGCAAGAACACCAGUGGCGAAGGCGGCUCACUGGCCCGUACUCGUAC